CGCUCGCCGCCGCUGCCGACCCUCAACCGCCAGAGGAUGGGGGGGGGCUGGUUAAAGGGAGGAUGUGAGGGGGGUGAAGGAGGGAGGAAAUGUCACGCUCGGCGGGAGCGAGGGGACGGAGGGACAGCGAGCAACGCCGGCUGUCAAGCAGAGCAGUUGCCAAGUGAUCUUCUCCACAGCACCCACGAACUUUGGCCUUACACUGAAGAGGACUCAUCAAAUGGUGAGAACCCUGGGAGAUACAACAUAAAAUUGGAAGAGAAGCAUGGAUCUACAUGAAGGGCAGUCCGCUGCAUUCUUGUAAGUUCAAAACAUAUGUAUAAAGUUUUAUUUCUCUUACAUUUUCACCUUUAUGAAUUGACAUAUAUUUAAGGUCCUUUGCACAGGGACAAAACAAAGGCAGCUUUCCUGGAGCGGUCUCUAUUCUCUGGAUUGUUUUAUACUCUCACCCUGUAAAAAUCUGUGUUGUGUUAUAGCUGAGUUUGUGGUGUGACUCCUGAAUGAAAACAGUAAAUGACAUAAAAUUCAUAGUUAUUUUCACAAUGAUUAUACAACCGUGUUUUCAUGCUUGCUUUCUGAAUAAAACAAGACAUGUAGGAAUGAGUUUUCUCCUA
rnacentral:lncRNA from 1 species